rnacentral:rRNA from 1 species
GCAAGUCGAGCGAGAAUUUAUUUAAUGGAGACUUAGGUUGAAGCUAAAUGAAGGAAAGCGGCGGACGGGUGCGUAACGCGUGGGCAACCUGCCCUAUACAAUAGGAUAGCCACUGGAAACGGUGAUUAAUACAUUAUAAGACUACAUUGACACAUGUUAAAGUAGUCAAAGCGCCGUCGGUAUAGGAUGGGCCCGCGUUUGAUUAGCUAGUUGGUGAGGUAACGGCUCACCAAGGCGACGAUCAAUAGCCGACCUGAGAGGGUGAUC